rnacentral:lncRNA from 1 species
CAUCAGCCCCGGCCUCAGAGAGUCCCAGAGUAACCUACUACCUCCCCAUCGCUCCCGCUAUCCUGGUCACACCCGCCACCCCGUCUGCACGCAGAUGAGACCUGCCCCCGAGCCCAGCAGUGAGGCUGUUACCAAUGUUUACAAUUAGGGGCACCUCCUCUGAGGCGUGUUUACUCCCCCACUCCCAAGGCCACUUGCUGGUCUGAGUUUCAUGUCCGUCUGCCCCUUCCCUGGUUGAGGCCGACUUGAACACACAACCCUGAUCUUACGUCCCGACCCUCCAUCCGUCAAGGCCAUGGUGAGGACUGUGUGGGAAGGAUAUUCCUUGUACAUACUCAGCACAGCCCCUAGAGUUUGGACUUGUACUAUUGUUCUGUAAAGAGGGUGAAAUAGAGCUUAUUGUAAAGCGUUGGGAGAAGUAUAGUAUUGUAUUUGUAACAAUAUGGUUCUUUGUAUACACAAAACUCAAUCUC